GACGAACGCUGGCGGCGUGCCUAAUACAUGCAAGUCGAACGCAGGGGGGACGGGUGAGUAACACGUGGGUAACCUCCCAUCAGAGGGGAGAACACUUGGAAACAGGUGCUAAACCGAUACUGAUGGAUGGACCUGCGGUGGAUUAGCUAGUUGGUGAGGUAACGGCUCACCAAGGCGACGAUGCAUAGCCGGCCUGAGAGGAUGAUCAGCCACACUGGGACUGAGACACGGCCCAGACUCCUACGGGAGGCAGCAGUGGGGAAUAUUGCACAAUGGGCGCAAGCCUGAUGCAGCCAUGCCGCGUGUAUGAAGAAGGCCUUAGGGUUGUAAAGUACUUUCGGCGGCGAGGCGUUACCCACAGAAGAAGCACCGGCUAACUCCGUGCCAGCAGCCGCGGUAAUUC
rnacentral:rRNA from 1 species